UACAGGGGGUGCAAACGUUGCUCGGAAUUAUUGGGCGUAAAGCGCGCGUAGGCGGCUACUUAAGUCGGAUGUGAAAGCCCCUGGCUCAACUGGGGAAGUGCACCCGAACUGAGCAGCUAGAGUACGAAAGAGGGUCGCGGAAUUCCCGGUGUAGAGGUGAAAUUCGUAGAUAUCGGGAGGAACACCGGUGGCGAAGGCGGCGACCUGGGUCGAUACUGACGCUGAGGCGCGAAAGCGUGGGGAGCAAACAGG
rnacentral:rRNA from 1 species